UACGUAGGGUGCGAGCGUUAAUCGGAAUUAAUGGGCGUAAAGCGUGCGCAGGCGGUUCGUUGUGUCUGAUGGGAAAGCCCCGGGCUUAACCUGGGAAUGGCAAUGGAUACUGGCAAGCUAGAGUGCGGUAGAGGGUAGUGGAAUUCCCGGUGUAGCGGUGAAAUGCGUAGAGAUCGGGAGGAACACCAGUGGCGAAGGCGGCUACCUGGACCAGCACUGAUACUGAGGCACGAAAGCGUGGGGAGCAAACAGG
rnacentral:rRNA from 1 species